ACGGGUGAGUAAUACGUGAGUAACCUGCCCUUGACUCUGGGAUAAGCCUGGGAAACCGGGUCUAAUACUGGAUACGACCCCUUGUCGCAUGGUGGGGGGUGGAAAGGGUUUGACUGGUUUUGGAUGGGCUCACGGCCUAUCAGCUUGUUGGUGGGGUAAUGGCUCACCAAGGCGACGACGGGUAGCCGGCCUGAGAGGGUGACCGGCCACACUGGGACUGAGACACGGCCCAGACUCCUACGGGAGGCAGCAGUGGGGAAUAUUGCACAAUGGGCGGAAGCCUGAUGCAGCGACGCCGCGUGAGGGAUGACGGCCUUCGGGUUGUAAACCUCUUUCAGCAGGGAAGAAGCCACAAGUGACGGUACCUGCAGAAGAAGCGCCGGCUAACUACGUGCCAGCAGCCGCGGUAAUACGUAGGGCGCAAGCGUUGUCCGGAAUUAUUGGGCGUAAAGAGCUCGUAGGCGGUUUGUCGCGUCUGCUGUGAAAGCCCGGGGCUCAACCCCGGGUCUGCAGUGGGUACGGGCAGACUAGAGUGCAGUAGGGGAGACUGGAAUUCCUGGUGUAGCGGUGAAAUGCGCAGAUAUCAGGAGGAACACCGAUGGCGAAGGCAGGUCUCUGGGCUGUUACUGACGCUGAGGAGCGAAAGCAUGGGGAGCGAACAGGAUUAGAUACCCUGGUAGUCCAUGCCGUAAA
rnacentral:rRNA from 1 species